rnacentral:rRNA from 1 species
UAGUCCACACCGUAAACGAUGAGAGCUAGUUGUCUGCAGGCAUGCCUGUAGGUGACGCAGCUAACGCAUUAAGCUCUCCGCCUGGGGAGUACGGUCGCAAGAUUAAAACUCAAAGGAAUUGACGAGGGCCCGCACAAGCGGAGGAACAUGUGGUUUAAUUCGAUGAUACGCGAGGAACCUUACCUGGACUUAAAUGUACGUUGCAUAGAUUGGAGACAGUCUUUUCUUCGGACUACGUACAAGGUGCUGCAUGGUUGUCGUCAGCUCGUGCCGUGAGGUGUCGGGUUAAGUCCCAUAACGAGCGCAACCCCUAUCCUUAGUUGCCAGCGGGUCAUGCCGGGGACUCUGAGGAGACUGCCACCGUAAGCGGAGAGGAAGGUGGGGACGACGUCAAAUCAUCAUGGCCUUUAUGCCUAGGGCUACACACGUGCUACAAUGGCAGGUACAGAGGGUUGCGAAGGGGUGACCUGGAGCUAAUCUCAGAAAGCCUGUCCCAGUUCGG